AGGUACAAAGCUGCACCGCUGACGCCUACCGCGCAUGUUCUGCUGCUGUGGCGACAGCCGUCACGACAGAACCAGCAGUCUCCUGCACCGCAGAGGAGCUGCAGUGCGGCGCCAUUUGCCUCCCACUCUCCACGCGGUGCAAUGGCGCCUCAGAGUGCGACGACGGGGAGGACGAACUCAACUGCCCAGGAAGCUGUGCAUCAAACCAGUUUCAUUGCGACGGCGUUUGCUUCCCCCGCAAGAUUUUAUGCAACGGCCGGACAGAGUGCGACGACGGGACCGA
rnacentral:lncRNA from 1 species